CCGGCACGGGUGAGUAACACGCAUCCAACCUGCCGUCUACUCUUGGACAGCCUUCUGAAAGGAAGAUUAAUACAAGAUGGCAUCAUGAGUUCGCAUGUUCACAUGAUUAAAGGUAUUCCGGUAGACGAUGGGGACGCGUUCCAUUAGAUAGUAGGCGGGGUAACGGCCCACCUAGUCUUCGAUGGAUAGGGGUUCUGAGAGGAAGGUCCCCCACAUUGGAACUGAGACACGGUCCAA
rnacentral:rRNA from 1 species